AGAAAGGUAAGCUAAACUAAAGCUAACAGGUUCAUACCCUGGUUAUAGAGAAAACUCUCCUCUCUA
rnacentral:tRNA from 1 species